UAAAAAGUAAGCUAAUUAAGCUAGUGGGCUCAUACCCCGUUUAUAAGAGCUUUAAUCUCUUCUUUUUUA
rnacentral:tRNA from 1 species